CACAUUUAUUCCAGAUAACACUGGGCCCAAUGGUAAGGUAACAAUGGCUAUAGAGAAACUAGAUAGCCUUUCUGAUGAACUAAGGAAGAACUCAGGAGUCAUUGAUACCUGGGACAGGUGGUUUGGAUGGAUGAAUGGCGGCAGAGAACCCUAUUCCAGGUUGGGACAGCAGUUCUCAUAAUGAUUAUCAUCUUUCUAUUUCUAACCUGUUGUGUACUUCCUUGUAUACAGAUAUACUUACAUAAGACAGUAGGGAAGACUAUAGACAACGUAACUCCUACUUUCCUACAUCAGGACGUCACUGACCUAGAAUGUGACACACCACAUACACCCCUCCAAUCCCAUCAGUUCAAACAGACAACUGCAUUCCUGUAGGGAUAGCGUAG